rnacentral:ncRNA from 1 species
GACGUUCAUCUGAGGCACCCUGGAGACUACUCCACUACGCCCUAGACGGAAGUAAGGAGAUUGGCUCCCGAAGGAACGCACC